UCCGUAGGUGAACCUGCGGAAGGAUCAUUACUGUGAUUUAAACUUCUUUCUUACACCGCGUGAGCGCACAACAACACCUAAACACGAAUAACCAUGUCACCCAGAGAAAAUCUCAAACGAGAAGAAAGAAAGAAAAAUAAAACUUUCAACAACGGAUCUCUUGGUUCUCGCAUCGAUGAAGAACGCAGC
rnacentral:rRNA from 1 species